AAUUUUGGGCAAUGGGGGAAACCCUGACCCAGCAACGCCGCGUGAGCGAGGAAGGCCUUCGGGUUGUAAAGCUCUGUCAGUUGGGACGAACCGGUCUGUGAUGAGCAGGCUUUGACGGUACCAACGGAGGAAGCCCCGGCUAACUACGUGCCAGCAGCCGCGGUAAUACGUAGGGGGCGAGCGUUGUCCGGAGUUACUGGGCGUAAAGGGCGCGCAGGCGGCCAUUCAAGUCAUGGGUGAAAUACCGGGGCUUAACCUCGGGGGUGCCUGUGAAACUGGGUGGCUUGAGGGCCGGAGAGGACAGUGGAAUUCCCGGUGUAGCGGUGAUAUGCGUAGAGAUCGGGAGGAACACCAGUGGCGAAGGCGACUGUCUGGACGGUACCUGACGCUCAGGCGCGAAAGCCCGGGGAGCAAAC
rnacentral:rRNA from 1 species